GAAAAACAAAACGUUAUAACUAUAAAAAAUUAUCCCUCAGUGGAAAGCUUUUCUCAAUGUGCAAUGAAAAUCAUUAGCCUAGGCCACAAGCCAUCUUAGUCACUCAUUGACCCAUCUAGGUGAGUAU
rnacentral:snRNA from 1 species